ACAUUCUUAGUUUAUUUAGAAUAGCAGCUUGUCGUGCUGUAGGUGGGAAAUUUUCUUAGGAUGUG
rnacentral:tRNA from 1 species